rnacentral:misc_RNA from 1 species
GUAACAAGGUCUCCGUUGGUGAACCAGCGGAGGGAUCAUUACAGAGUUACUACUCCAAAACCCAUUGUGAACCUUACCUAUGUUCUGUUGCCUCGGCGGCGUGGUCAGCGCCCCCUCUGAAAAGAGGACGAUGCCCUCCCGCCGGCAGCACCAAACUCUUGAAUUUUACAGCGGAUUACAGUUCUGAUUUGAAAAGAAAAAACAAGUUAAAACUUUCAACAACGGAUCUCUUGGUUCUGGCAUCGAUGAAGAACGCAGCGAAAUGCGAUAAGUAAUGUGAAUUGCAGAAUUCAGUGAAUCAUCGAAUCUUUGAACGCACAUUGCGCCCGGCAGUAAUCUGCCGGGCAUGCCUGUCCGAGCGUCAUUUCAACCCUCGAACCUCCGUUUCCUCAGGGAAGCUCAGGGUCGGUGUUGGGGCGCUACGGCGAGUCUUCGCGACCCUCCGUAGGCCCUGAAAUACAGUGGCGGUCCCGCCGCGGUUGCCUUCUGCGUAGUAAGUCUCUUUUGCAAGCUCGCAUUGGGUCCCGGCGGAGGCCUGCCGUCAAACCACCUAUAACUCCAGAUGGUUUGACCUCGGAUCAGGUAGGGUUACCCGCUGAACUUAAGCAUAUCAA